rnacentral:ncRNA from 1 species
CAUCCUGCUGGAAGCGACAAACCGCGAUUCGUGUUGAACCGGUCACCUAGAAUCGCGGGAGCAAGUGGUGAGACCGACCAGAAUUCUU